rnacentral:rRNA from 1 species
AUUGAACGCUGGCGGCAGGCCUAACACAUGCAAGUCGAGCGGAGCGACGGACGGACGAGUAAUGCCUAGGAAUCUGCCUGGCAGUGGGGGAUAACGUCCGGCAACGGGCGCUAAUUCCGACUACUAUCCGAUAAGCCUGGGUCGGAUUAGCUAGUUGGUGGGUUAAAGGCCUACCAAGGCGACGAUCCGUCACUGGUCUGAGAGGAGGAUCAGUCACACUGGAACUGAGACACGGUCCAGCCUCCCACGGGAGGCAGCAGGGGGGAAUAUUGGACAAUGGGCGAAAGCCUGAUCCAGCCAUGCCGCGUGUGUGAAGACGGUCGUCGGAUUGUAAAGCACUUUAAGUUGGGAGGCGUUACCAACAGAAUAAGCACCGGCUAACUUCGUGCCAGCAGCCGCGGUAAUUG